rnacentral:rRNA from 1 species
GACGAACGCUGGCGGCGUGCUUAACACAUGCAAGUCGAACGGUAAGGCGCUGCUCUUGUUGUUUUCUCGAGUGGCGAAAACGUGUGUGUCACGUGUGUAACCUGCCCUUUACUUUGGGAUAACAUUAGUAAACUGGGGCUAUUAUCGCAUAUAAGCUCCUGCUGCAUGGUGGGUGUUGGAAAGUUUCGGCGUUUCGGGACGAAAUGGGGGCGUAUCAGCUUGUUGGUGGGGUGGUGGCUUAACAAGGCUUUGACGGGUAGCGGGCUUGCGAGGGUGACCGGCCACAUUGGGACUGAGAGACGGCCAAGACUACUACGGGAGGCAGUAGGGGGGAAUAUUGCACAAUGGGCCGAAGCGUGAGGCAGCAACGCCGCGGGAGGGAUAACGGCUGUCGGGUGUUAAACCGCGGUGGGCGGGGACGAAGCGUGAGUGACGGUAAUGGGUUAAGAAGCACCGGCUAACUACGUG